GCCGCCAUUUUGUUAGGUUAUUUUUGCCGGCUGGAUAGUGCUCAGUGUUCAGUGCUGCUUUUUAAUUUUAUUAAUUGUGUUACUACUUUAGUGGUGUUAUAUUAAAAUGGAUGAAUACCAGAAUGAUUUUGAUAUGCUAAGGCAUACAGGAGGAGGCAAAAAAUGGGACUACGUCAACUGCAGUUUGGAAACAAUCUUCUCGGAUUACUUGGUACCAGUUGGGGCAUUAUUGCUCCUGAAUGAGGAAAAAACAAUUUCAAAUUGUCUACCCCAAUGCUGAAGAAAGUUAUAAAACGUGCUGUAAGGCAGACAUUUCCAAUCGUAAUGGAGGAAAAUUUCGAGAUAUGUAAUGGAUUCAUGACGCCGCUGGGAUCCAACUCAAGAGACAUUAAACUACUGUUACACAGUGCAUGUUGGUAAAAUUUUCUAAAAAACAAGAUUUAUAAAUUAGUUACUUAGUUAUUCUAUGCGCCAUUUUUAACAAAAUAAGUUCCUGUACUAUAAGACUAACCAAAAUAUCCCCAUACGAGCAAAAAGUGGUACGAUAUAAACUUGGAGGAAAUAUAGUAGAGGACAUUAUAGCGUUUGGGGUCAUAAUAAUUACCACAGAACCGAAGUUUGGUUUUUUUUAGUUCUUUGUGAGUGUAUUUUUGACGACCGGUCAGGCGCAGUCGGUAGUGACCCUGCCUGCUACGCCGCGGUCCCGGG